rnacentral:rRNA from 1 species
UAUCUCUGUAGAGUCUGCAUAUCAAUAAGCGGAGGAAAAGAAACUAACAAGGAUUCCCUUAGUAACGGCGAGUGAAGCGGGAAGAGCUCAAAUUUGAAAUCUUCAAGGUUCUACCUUGACGAAUUGUAGUUUAUAGAAGUGUUUUCUGUUGAAGUUUUGGUAAAAGUUCUUUGGAAUAGGACAUCAUAGAGGGUGAGAAUCCCGUAUUUGGUCAUUCCUUCUAGCUUUGUGAUACACUUUCAAAGAGUCGGAUUGUUUGGGAAUGCAGUCCAAAAUGGGUGGUAAAUUUCAUCUAAAGCUAAAUAUUGGCGAGAGACCGAUAGCGAACAAGUACCGUGAGGGAAAGAUGAAAAGAACUUUGAAAAGAGAGUUAAACAGUACGUGAAAUUGUCAAAAGGGAAGCGUUUGACACCAGUGUUGUUUUUCCGAAAAUCAAUUAAGAAUGUUUUAUUUUUGAGGAGUUAUGACUUCAUCGGCUUGCUCCUUUCUUUAUGGAACUUUCUUAAUGCACUUUUCGGUUAACAAGUCAACAUCAAUUUCUUUUGUUGUAAAAGAGUAUGAGGAAGGUGGCUUUCUUUUCGGAGAAAGUGUUUAUAGCCUUGUACUUCUGCAAUCGGAGAGAUUGAGGUCUGCAGCGUAGAUCCUUCGGGGUUAGAUACACUUGUGCUAAGUUAUAGCUUUUCAUAGACAACUUGUUGAUUAUGAUUAGUCUUGUAGCUUACUCGCUUGUGCUAUUUUACCUACGCUUAGGAUGUUGAGUAGCGACAUACGCAC